CCUUACGGCCAUACUCCUCUGGCCUCCGCUUGAUCUCGCUCUGGAUCUCGAGAAGCUAAGCAGAGUAGGGCCUGGUUAGGACUUUGGGAUGGAAGACCGCCUGGGAAUCCCAGGUGCGGUAAGCU
ensembl:rRNA 5S_rRNA 5S ribosomal RNA